rnacentral:rRNA from 1 species
UACGUAGGCAGCAAGCGUUGUUCGGAGUUACUGGGCGUAAAGGGUGUGUAGGCGGUUCUUUAAGUUUGGUUUGAAAUCUCCCGGCUCAACUGGGAGGGUGCGCCGAAUACUGAGGGACUAGAGUACGGGAGAGGAAAGUGGAAUUCCUGGUGUAGCGGUGAAAUGCGUAGAUAUCAGGAGGAACACCGGUGGUGUAGACGGCUUUCUGGACCGUAACUGACGCUGAGACACGAAAGCGUGGGUAGCAAACAGG